rnacentral:rRNA from 1 species
UACGUAGGGGGCAAGCGUUAUCCGGAUUUACUGGGUGUAAAGGGAGCGUAGACGGAUGGACAAGUCUGAUGUGAAAGACUGGGGCUCAACCCCGGGACUGCAUUGGAAACUGCCCGUCUUGAGUGCCGGAGAGGUAAGCGGAAUUCCUAGUGUAGCGGUGAAAUGCGUAGAUAUUAGGAGGAACACCAGUGGCGAAGGCAGCUUACUGGACGGUAACUGACGUUGAGGCUCGAAAGCGUGGGGAGCAAACAGG